CAUUGAGGAAGCUUCUCAUCUAGGGAGGGAAAUCUUCACCGGUGAGCAUGCUGGGAAAAAGACACAAGGAGAUGAUGAGGCAGAGCUUGUCGUCCAUUGUUGGGCUUGAAAACUGUGAUUGGACCUAAAGAGCAAAACACCCUCAUCUCUACCGAAGGACACUUUCUUGAUUGAUGGCGGUCUGUACGCUGGCUAAGAGGCUGCAGGUGGAAACUGUUAUCAGGUCUGCCCUAAGUCAACAGCUUCAGGUCAACAAUGUGAAAGUGAAUGUUUACACAAGAAAAGAGCCUGCAACUCUGCUUUGGGAGCACUCCUUCCCAUGAAUUUAUUUUAGGAUGCAGUCAGUGUUCUUUAGCAAACAUGUUGUAUGUAAAUGUUAAGAAUCUUUUAAAUGUGAGCAUUAAAUGCUGAUACCAGAACAUCA